UGCUGUCAAUUUCUCCCUUUAGGUCUGUUAGUAGUUCCUUUAUAUACUUUGGUGCUCCUAUGCUAGGUGCAUAUGUAUUAAUAAGUUGCAUAUAUGUUAAUCAG